AUGCAAGUCGAACGGCAGCACGGAGCUUGCUCUGGUGGCGAGUGGCGAACGGGUGAGUAAUAUAUCGGAACGUACCCUGGAGUGGGGGAUAACGUAGCGAAAGUUACGCUAAUACCGCAUACGAUCUCAGGAUGAAAGCAGGGGACCGCAAGGCCUUGUGCUCCUGGAGCGGCCGAUAUCUGAUUAGCUAGUUGGUGGGGUAAAGGCCCACCAAGGCAUCGAUCAGUAGCUGGUCUGAGAGGACGACCAGCCACA
rnacentral:rRNA from 1 species